rnacentral:sRNA from 1 species
AGAGAAAGGAAAAUGAUUAGUGUCAGAACAUUCUGAUGCCUCCCAGUUCUAUCAGAUCUGAGUAUAAGAUUUCUGCUGUCCCUGACAUAGAGCCCCUGGGUGGGCAAGCCUCAACUAAAAUUUAAUAUCCUUACUUCCUGUUCAUGUUCAGCUUGGUGUACUGAAUUAGUUUCUCAUGUGAAUCAGAGACUCUGAGGGCAUUUGUCCAUUUAAUGAACAUUUAUUGAGCACUGACCUUGUGCCAUGCACUCCUCUGAACGUUGGCAAUCCGAAGAUAAAUACAUCAUGAUCUUUAUCCCCAAGGGGCUCAUUACAAAGUGAGGAAGAUGAAUUAGACAUUUCGACAACCGGCUGUCAUUCAACAGACACUACUCAAUUAAAAAUGUGUACAAAGCCCGUGGCCAUAGGGAGGAGGUGCUAUAACUCUCCUGACAGCCUGGGAGGACAUUCCCAUAGGCGGUGACAUUUGAAACAGGCCUUGAAAGGAGAAUUUACCUGCUGGAGAAAUGUUGCCCACAUUUUAAGAGGAAGCCAAACAAGAGAAGGCUCGACCACGCUGAUCUGAGAAACAGAAAGUGCAAGAUACAAGAGCUCUGCCUGCUGCUCAGUGGCAAGCUUGACUGGCUGCUAAAACUCUCUUGGGAACAAGGAAAAUGCCACAGGAGAGGAUUUCUAGAGUUCUGUGGCAUCUUUAACAAGUCUGAUGCAGAUAGAAGCAACCUGAAAUACUCUCGAGGGACACUUGGAGCAUUUAGUAAAUAAUGAUGAAGGAAGAGGAGCAUCUGUGUGUGCACAUAUAUGUGCAUAUGUGUUAGGUGGUGACAGCAGACUCGCUUGGUCAGCUGUGCAUCCUGCCAGAUGUGCACCAUGCAAUGUAGCACAGUGAGGCAGAGGCAUCACAGUAAGCAGAAUUCAGAGUUCACAGUCUGACCCAGAGAUGCAGAUUGCAUUUAACUGUACCCAUCGACGUGCAACUAGUGGCUGCCUUAUUGGACAGCACCAAGGAAAAGACUGCUAAUGGUGUGAAAUGCCACAGAACAAGGAAGAACAUGACAGAAUUUUCAUGGGACUCAUCAGACUGAGGAGGAUGGCUUCGGAAGGAUGCAGACGAAUCGUUGCCUCCCACAGUUCCCUCUCAACUUUGCCCUGCUGGGCUCUCUCCAUUCAAUUAUGUUUCUCCAGCUUCCAAUUUUUUUUCUACCACCAACCCACUCAGUCAUUUUCUGCCAAUGGCAGGCUCUGGAAAGCAGUUCCCUCAGGCCUCCCAGUGACAGGUGCCUGGGCUGUUCUAGUGCUGUUUACAGGAAGUACUUGAACUAUUCUAGCCACAAAGGGUGAGCUCUUUGCAUUUUUUCCCAAGUCAGCUAAGGAACAGGAAGCCAUGUUCAAUUGUUGCUUGCCCAAGAGUGAUGCUCAUAGCCCUCUCCUGGUUGGUGUUUUUCCGAACAAUGGAAAUAAAUCUGAUGUAAUGUAGCAGAACACGACAAAGGACGGCUUUCCCCUUAACAAAUCCUCAUUUGAAAUGGUGCCCAAACCCUGCACGAGGAGCGAUCUAUUUCCCACAACAGUGUUACAGCAAAACCCAUUACUAAUUCCACAACUCAAAUUAAAACUAACAGAGCUUGAAGGCUGGGGCUGACACUCUCUCUGCUGACAAGGAACAAGGAAGGGUGGAGGAAGGAGCCGGCUCACUCUCAUGUGUGUGUGUUUAAUUACACUGUUUAACACAUGGAGAAUAAUUUAGUCACCAGAGUGGAGAAAAUAAGGCACUUAACUGCUCUCUGGUGGAAAAACACCCGGAGCAAACCACUUUUAGCUAUAUGGCACCUUGACAUACCUCAGAGCUUUGGGGAGAGAAAAAGAGGGAGGGGAGCAAGGGGGAAGAGAGAGAGAGAGAAAGAGAGAGAGAGAGAGAGAGAGAGAGAGAGAGAGAGAGAGAGACCAGUGAGAUAGAGCCAAGGAGAGUGUGCAACUAGGGGCAGAGAAAGACAGGAGAGGGGAAGGAGGGGAAGAAAGAAGAAAGAGAAAAUGGAAGGAACAGGAAGUGGACAGAGAAGAAGCAAGGGAGAGCGAUAUAGGAAGAAAGAGACCUUGGCACAUAGAUUUAUACUCUCAGGAGAGCUUGAGGGAUUUGGUGCCAGUGUGAGAGUGAGCACUGAUGGCAGGCCUUGAAGAUGGAGCUAAACUUCUGGGUGAGUGUUGACCUGAGUUCUGUUCAUGCCUCAGAUACCUCAGGAAGAUACGAGUCCUCCAUAGCCUAAAAGCCAUGGGCGGAGAAAGGCAGAUGUAAGAGGGAGAUUCUGGUAGUUUCUUUUCCUGUUGUUGUGUAAAUACUUUAUCAAAAGCAACUUUAGGGAGAAAGGAACUGUUUUAGUUCAUAGUUCAAGGUAUAGCCUAUCACCGUGGGGAUUCAAGACAGGAGGGGACUUGGAUCGAGUUACAUCACACCUGUCAUUGGAAAUAGAGGGGUACAUGCAUGUGCUCAGUUCUCUUUCUCCAUUUUAUAUCGUGUAGGAUUCCCCUGUUAGGGAAUAAUGCCAUUCAAAGUUUAAACGGGCCUUUCCACAUCAAUUAAUGUGAUGAAGGUAAUCCCCUUCAGGUCUGCCCAUGACCUUAUCUGUUAGUUUAUUACAGAUCCAGUCAAGCUGACAAGCAGCGUCUUCAUAAAGAUUGUAGCGGGUUCCAUUUGCAGAAAAGGAAACCAAGGCUCAAAGUCAAGCUUGAGGAGCUGGGCAACACUGGUGGGCUUCUGUGCUAGCCCCUGGCUUCAAGGCUGGAAAUCUGGCCUGCAAGUAACCUAUGUACUAUGCCCUUAAUCAGGGCUGAAAGGGAUUGGAGUACACAAGUGUCUUCCAUUCUCUGAGAUAAUCUCUAAUCCACCAACUGGCCAUGGGAGUGGGGGACAUGAGAGAAACCAGGCUCGGAUUUAGAAGCAGUGAAGCGUCUCAGCUCUGCAGCAGGUGCCAGGGAAGUGAGCGCUCAGAAUAGAACUAUCUAGCGUCUGCCAGUGAUGGGGCUUAGCUUCAGUGCAGGCUGCCAAGGAGACUGACAACUUGGCAUGAGAGCACAGAGUGCAGAAGAUUGCUUCUGUAGGUCAGCAGACAUGCAGUCACACCAUCCUUUUUCCCACUGUUCUGGCACACGGACCCAGCACCCAUCUUCCCAUCCUCCCAUCCUCCCAUCCCGCUCACAGCCUCUCAACCUCUGAACCUUACAGCCUCACAGCCUCCCAUUCUCCUAGUCUCCAGCUUCCCAGCCUCCCAGCCUCCCAGCCUCCCAGCCUCCCAGCCUCAGAGCGUUCAUAGAGCUUAACUGAUAGGAACAUGUCAGGAAAGCCCAGUGACGGAGAGAAUGGAAAGGAUCUAUGUGUCCUCUCUCAUCUCAGACACAACGUUGCCUCCUCUAGACUCAGUUUCUCCCUUUGGAAGAUUAAGAAAAUUGGACUUUCUUUUCUAAGUUUCAUUAGCCCCUUUAAAUAUAUGGUCUGAUUUCCGAUGCUAAGAAUAGGUAUGGACCCUAAAAAUUUCCAGAGGAGUAUGGCUGAGUUCCUUGUUAUUCUGUUUAAGUAAGUUUGUAUCCCAACACCCACAAGGAAGACAGUUUGUCUUGGUAUCUUUUCUCUAUCGAAGGAUCUUUGAUGGGUGUCACUCUGUUAGGAAAGACACCUAGAAAGCUCUUGAGCAGAUUCUUAGCUUUAUUCUACCAACAAGGUAGGCUUCCUUCUGGAUUCUACAGCUGGAUGCACUCCAGAGAAAUUGUAUAGGAUUUGCCACAUUCCUAGACUUCUGGGGGUAGGUUUUUUUCAUCUAUGAGGAAAACUUAACUUAUUCAAAUUUCCUCUUUAGCACAUCAGGAAGACUUAGGGAGUUGGAGCUGAGCAUGUACUAAGCUAAAAUACCAGGUCAUAAUGAGCUUCUGUUUUUGAACAAAGUUCCAGAGGAAGGAUCUAGCCCUCCCAUCACUUCUCAAAGACCAAAUCAGACAACACUAGAUUUAGAAUCUUUCUUCCCUUCCCAUUCUUUAAAAAAAAAUUAAUAGAAGUUAAGGUCAUAUUUAUGUAAUUCACUUAUUCUUAAAAGAUCACCCGUUGGCCUUUCUUCUUAGUCUUCCAUUGACACGAAACAGAGAGAGAAUGGAUGAGAGAAUCAGACAAAGGCUGGGAGAGCACACAGAGAAAAAGAGAUCCAGACAGAAAGAGUCCAGAGACAGCCACUCAGUGGGAACUGGGACUAUGGAGAAGAGACCUAAGGCAUACAGGGACAAGAUGCAGGAUCUGCCUGGGCUGGGUGUUCUCCUGUAUUAGCCUGGGCUGGGCAUUUUCCUGUAUCAGCCUAUAGUACUGAAGCUGUACAAUACCAGGACUGCCCCAUCUCCACAGUGAGCAUUCAAGUAUAGUCCGGAAAAUAGACACAUUUGCUGUGAUCCACCCCUAGAUGGAGUUCUCGAAGGCUACUCUCCACCCCUCUAUCUCUGCCUCUGGCUUCAACAAGGGAGAGGAGAAAAGUCAGUGGAGUCAGAAGGUGUGGGCCUCUUCUCAGUUGGCCUGACAUACCACCUUGUGGCCUGGCUAUUUGGGGCAUUUGAGGCCAGUGUUAAACUCACAAAUGUGUGGUAGAGUCCUGGAGUGGAAACCGGGCCUAACUCCGACCCUAUCUGGCCCUUUCCAACAUAAAGAGGAAGAAUAGCAGUAUCAACAGCCAAGGGGAAUUUUGAUCAAGGGGACCAUUCUCCUUUCCUGGAAGCAAUCUGGGACACCUAGUGAUGGUCCCAGGUUCUAAGCCACAUUUCCAAGUAGGUAAGGUCACACCUCUGGGCUCAGGGAUAGGGUGUGGACCAAUGGGAGGACUGAAGUCUUCAGAAAACAAAACUUCCUUAUUAAGUAUGUCAAAGAGCACUAUGAAAGAGAACAGACUUUGGUAAUGAGGGAGGGGAGGCAGAGACAGGCAAGCUUGGAAGGGUGGUGAAGCCUCUAAGGCAGCCCAUGUGCCUUUCUCCAUCCAUUCACACUCCCCAUGCCUUAGAUUUCCAAGUGGAGCUAGAUGACUUGUGAGAAGGACUGUGGGUGCAGAGGAAAACCAGUAAUAGAAAGAAAUGGUUUAGAAGCCUGCUGGUAAGGAAGUGUGGGGCAGGUAUGGACAGGACAGGCCUAAGAGGA